CUCCAGAUGUUGCUGAACUACAACUCUAUGAUUCUACAAAUGAAAUAGAUAGGCUGAGAAUCAUGGGAGUUGUAGUUCAGCAACAUCUAGAG
rnacentral:miRNA from 1 species